UAGGUUUUUGAUUCUAUAGAG
rnacentral:piRNA from 1 species